rnacentral:rRNA from 1 species
AACGAACGCUGGCGGCAUGCCUAACACAUGCAAGUCGAACGGAUCCUUCGGGAUUAGUGGCGCACGGGUGCGUAACGCGUGGGAAUCUGCCCUGGGGUACGGAAUAACUCAGCGAAAGUUGUGCUAAUACCGUAUGAUGUCUUCGGACCAAAGAUUUAUCGCCCUGGGAUGAGCCCGCGUAGGAUUAGCUAGUUGGUGAGGUAAAGGCUCACCAAGGCGACGAUUCUUAGCUGGUCUGAGAGGAUGAUCAGCCACACUGGGACUGAGACACGGCCCAGACUCCUACGGGAGGCAGCAGUGGGGAAUAUUGGACAAUGGGCGCAAGCCUGAUCCAGCAAUGCCGCGUGAGUGAUGAAGGCCUUAGGGUUGUAAAGCUCUUUUACCCGGGAAGAUAAUGACUGUACCGGGAGAAUAAGCCCCGGCUAACUUCGUGCCAGCCGCCGCGGUAA